GACGAACGCUGGCGGCGUGCUUAACACAUGCAAGUCGAACGAUGACGACCGAGCUUGCUCGGUCUGAUUAGUGGCGAACGGGUGAGUAACACGUGAGCAACCUGCCCUUCACUCUGGGAUAACCUCGGGAAAUCGGGGCUAAUACCGGAUAUGAGCUCCUGUCGCAUGGCGGGUGUUGGAAAGUUUUUCGGUGAAGGAUGGGCUCGCGGCCUAUCAGUUUGUUGGUGAGGUAGUGGCUCACCAAGGCGAUGACGGGUAGCCGGCCUGAGAGGGCGACCGGCCACGCUGGGACUGGGACACGGCCCAGACUCCUACGGGAGGCAGCAGUGGGGAAUAUUGCACAAUGGGCGAAAGCCUGAUGCAGCGACGCCGCGUGAGGGAUGACGGCCUUCGGGUUGUAAACCUCUUUCAGCAGGGAAGAAGCGAAAGUGACGGUACCUGCAGAAGAAGCGCCGGCUAACUACGUG
rnacentral:rRNA from 1 species